GAUGAAGAACGUAGCGAAAUGUGAUACUUGGUGUGAAUUGCAGAAUCCCGUGAACCAUCGAGUCUUUGAACGCAAGUUGCGCCCGAGGCCUCCUGGUCGAGGGCACGUCUGCCUGGGUGUCACGCAUCGUCGCCCCCUCUCCCCUCGGCUCGCGAGGGCGGGGGCGGAUACUGGUCUCCCGCGCGCUCCCGCUCGCGGUUGGCCCAAAAUCGAGUCCUCGGCGACGGUCGCCACGACGAGCGGUGGUUGAGAGACCCUCGGACACGGUCGUGCGCGCGCCUGUCGCCCCCGGGAUCUCCUGGACCCUCGGGCAUCGAAAUUCUAGGAUGCUCUCGUUGCGACCCCAGGUCAGGCGGGACUACCCGCUGAGUUUAAGCAUAUCAAUAAGCGGAGGA
rnacentral:misc_RNA from 1 species